rnacentral:rRNA from 1 species
AUGGCCUCCUGCCAACCCCGUGUAUAGGAGGUCUCGCCUGCCCAGUGACAUGCUUUAACGGCCGCGGUAUUCUAACCGUGCGAAGGUAGCGCAAUCACUUGUCUCUUAAAUGGAGACCUGUAUGAAUGGUAGAACGAGGGCUUAACUGUCUCCCCUGUCAAGUCAAUGAAAUUGAUCUGCCCGUGCAGAAGCGGACAUAAUACCACAAGACGAGAAGACCCUUUGGAGCUUUAGUUACAAGAUGAACUAUGUCAAGACUAAUAAAUAAAAUCAAACUAAAUACCAACUCAUCUUAAUCUUUUGUUGGGGCGACCACGGGAGAAAAGAAAGCUCCCAUGAGGACUGGGCCCACCCCAGAGCCAAGAAAGACACUUCCAAGACACAGAACAUCUGACCUUAAAGAUCCGGCACACCGCCGACCAACGGACCAAGUUACCCUAGGGAUAACAGCGCAAUCCCCUUCCAGAGUUCAUAUCGACAAGGGGGUUUACGACCUCGAUGUUGGAUCAGGACAUCCUAAUGGUGCAGCCGCUAUUAAGGGUUCGUUUGUUCAACGAUUAAAGUCCUACGUGA